GGAUGUGAGGGCGAUCUGGCUGCGACAUCUGUCACCCCAUUGAUCGCCAGGGUUGAUUCGGCUGAUCUGGCUGGCUAGACGGGUGUGCCCCUCUUCCCUCACCGAUCCAUGUGCGUCCCUCCUGAAGCUGUGCACUUGGUCGAAGAGGACGACCUUCCCCCAAGAGAAGAGGACCAAUCUUCGGUCAAGGGUAUACGAGUAGCUGCGCUCCCCUGCUAGAACCUCCAAACAAGCUCUCAAAGGGUAAGACAUUCUUCUUUUUUUACUGCUGCAUAGUAUUCCAUAGUAUAAAUGUACCACAGCUUUUUUAUCCACUCAUCUACUGAUGGGCACCUGGGCUGUUUCCAGAU
rfam:Myotis lucifugus cont2.40044, whole genome shotgun sequence.